GGCGGACUUACGUAGUGCUUAUCUGCUUUUUGCUUACACAUGUGGUUUUCUUUUUUUUGAAAACUUUGCUUUGGUAGGCCUUCUAUAUGGGGCCUGCCAGAGAUUAAACUCAACCGAAUUUUAUUUAAUGUCAACCGAUUAUUUAAUAGUCAAAACUUUCAACAACGGAUCUCUUGGUUCUCGCAUCGAUGAAGAACGCAGCGAAAUGCGAUAAGUAAUAUGAAUUGCAGAUAUUCGUGAAUCAUCGAAUCUUUGAACGCACAUUGCGCCCUUUGGUAUUCCAAAGGGCAUGCCUGUUUGAGCGUCAUUUCUCCCUCAAACCCUCGGGUUUGGUGUUGAGCGAUACGCUGGGUUUGCUUGAAAGAAAGGCGGAGUAUAAACUAAUGGAUAGGUUUUUUCCACUCAUUGGUACAAACUCCAAAACUUCUUCCAAAUUCGACCUCAAAUCAGGUAGGACUACCCGCUGAACUUAAGCAUAUCAGUAAGCGGAGGAAAAGAAAACCAA
rnacentral:rRNA from 1 species